UAUUGCAAAACUAGUUUUUGCAAAAAGGUCCCUAGAAGAAAACACUUUUCUUUCUUUUCUUCUUCUUCUUCCUUCUCUUCCGUAUCUUCACUGUACGCCCGUGAGCUCGGACGCCGAUCACAGAGGAAAGGAAGAAGAGGACAUGUCGCCGGAUCUGGAUGCUUACCACCGGAGAGAGGAUUGAGAGAGGAAAACUACUUCUUCUCUCUUCUUCUUCUUCUUCAGAACUCCUGUUUAAG
rnacentral:lncRNA from 1 species